UUUGUUUUUUAUUAUUUAGAUGAAAAAUGAAAAAUUCAGUGUAAUACAUAAGAAAAUACACUAGGGGGAGACGAGUGCUCACUAAAUACAUUGAUGGAAAAAGGGGAUUGCUCUCUAUUAGGAUAGCAUGCCACAUUUCAUACAGUGGUACCUGAGUUCUUCUUUUCUAAAUAUAUUUUUUGAUGCUACUGCCACAGUAUUUCCUCCAUAAGCACAGGAAAUAAAUCCCUGUGAGCACCAUGAUCCCUUCAUUUAUUCAGAGAUGUGAUUCAUUUGACACGCAUGAACUUGUGAGUUUUUAUCGUUUUUGGUAGAGAUUCAAGAAUUGUGAAAAUCAGGGCCGCAACCGAUUUUUAAAAUAACGAUUUAGCCGAUUGCAGACGCUGAUGUCUUUUCCAUUACUUCUGUUGGUGUAAGACUCUCACAAUGCCAACAUUUCAAAGAUUUUCCACAUAUCAGAGAUUAUCCAACAGGUGAUUUCCUUUGCCCAAUGAAAAAUCCCUUUUGAGUCAGUAGUUACCAGUAGUACCUUUUAUCUGUAUUUUUACUGUAUUCCUAUAUAUUCUUAUUUUAUUUGUACUCAUAUGCGUGCUCUUCUUCUUGUCUUUUACUGCUGCAACACUUGAAUUUCCCCACUGGUGUUCAAUAAAGGGUUAUCUUAUUUUAUCAUAAAUGCACUAGAUGCCAGCAUAAAAUGAAAGAUAAACAUUUGCUACUGACAUCAGUUUAUUCCACAUUAUUUGCAGAUGUCUGCUAGGGAAUGCAACAUGCCACUAAUGUCACCUAUCAAGCUCAUCAUGUUAGCCGAAACAAGCGUGGACAGGCUGUCUGUCAAUGUUAAACCAGUGCGACAGUGCGCACCCAGUUUUUGUCAAUUGAACCUGAAAUGUCUCUUUACUGUAGCUCUUUUCCUCUAACUGUGUUCCCCCUUUACUUUAUUCUAAUAAAAACGACGUCAUCUGAUAUAGUGCAGUGUUAAAUUACAUUUAGAAGUACACUCUGCAUGUUUCCCUGCCUAUUUUUUACUGUGUGACAUGCUGCUGAGAGGCUUAAACGAGGCUUGUGUGCUGACAUGCUAAAGAAGUGCUCAUCAUGCAGCAGUGAUGUACAGCUUAGCUAGGUGUGAUACUGAUACAUUUAUACAGGAAUGAAGUUGAUCUAGAUGCAGGAUUUUAAUGGACGAUGAUGAUGUUGUCCAACAUGUCCAUUUCUCAUCUCAGGAGUUCAUCGUUUUAAUUGGCAUCAAAUACACUGUUUCGAGUGUCUCUUCCUGUAAUUACAGCAAUUUCUCAUGUAUUGUUUGAAAUUCCAAGAAACAGUCAAUUAACUUUUAUUGUCCAUGUAACCACUCAAAUCUUGGUUGUGAGUUAAGAUGACGAAUAUUUUGUUAAGUACACAAUAAAAUGAAAAAUGCAUCAAAUAAAUUGAAGGUUAACAUAGCCUGUAUUUCAUUUUCAGAUGUUGACAGGACUAUAUAUUAAAACUGCUGUCCUCACUGGGGGAUGAAAUCAUCCAGUUGAAAUCAUCCAAUUCUUACAGCUUGGAACAAAAUGUCAGAUGAUUAUAAGUUCAAAAAACACAUUUAAUUUUGUACUGUCUCAAAACGGAGAGGCAAAAACAUAUAUCGAUGUGAAAUGUCUUGAUUCCGCACCGGAGGCGGAGGGAGACGGAGGAAGAGGUUCUAUAUUGAUUUGACAUCAUACACCACAUUUAUCAAUUUUCACUUCCUUCCAGGGACUUGACAGCAAAAUAAUCAGAGACAGUAUCAAUUACCCUGUCUGUAACACUAAAAUAGGUCCAGAAGCCAAUACUACUAUUUUACUAACCCUGAAGUCUGCAAAAAUAAACAGAGACCCAAAGUCAAGCCUUUGUCUCCUCUCUCGCUCAAACAUUUGGCCGUACGGUGUGUGUGUGUGUGUGUGUGUGUGUGUGUGUCACAGUGUAGAUUUUACAGCUGGUUCAAAUAAAACAGAGGGGACGAGAUGAGGGUCCAGGGGGAGGAUGGGGGCAGAACCAGUGUCCCCUCGUGUUUCCACUGCAUGUGAUCUGAUGUGAUGUGAAAAGCGUGCCGCUCCAAACGUUUUCAUCAACCUGGCAGAACAAACCCUCCAACAGAGCGCUGUCCCUACACAGCUUAAAUCAUCAAAUGAGACGGGGUCAAGCUCCAGCUCGGCUUAAGAGAGUUUUUUUAUUUUUUUUUAUCUUGUAGCUUCUCAAUUUGGAGCAUUGAAGACUCUCUGUAGCCUCUGGGUCAGCCGUAUAUUCCACAUUUAACUUAAAGAGGAAAAGCAUGGAAACCUCAACAAGAUGGUUGAGCUGUUUUUAAAAACCAGUGAACAUUUUAACUUGCUUUUUAAAGGAUGUGUGAUCUUUCUCUCCAUGUGCGUUACAUUGCUUUUCAUUUAUUAAACUCUGAUGUGAAAGGUG